AAAAAAUUUGGACUCUUAAACAGAAACAAUACCCACUUCUUUUUGACAAUUCAGUAAUACCCACGUUCUUGUGUGGAACUGCGCUUUUGUUUAAUUUGACAAUUCUACAAUAACCAACUUUAAUUUGUGUUCGCCUUCAUGGGCACAUCGUAUGUCGGAGCCCAUUUCAGCGAUGGUUUAUUCUUUCUGUGUUUAAACUAGCAGCGGUAGUAAACCAAAGCCUUAAGUGCUAAGAUUAUUAUCACGCUAGCUUGCUAUGUGGGGAAAGUGAAGGACUACGCCAUUGAAAAUGAUGUGAAGCGGUAAGAUUUUGGCUUAGUACGGAUAUUGAAGAGGUUAAGAUGUUCUCUUCCGCUACUUCUUCUACCAAGAACCAAUUGGGUUCAGCAAGAAACGACUAAUGACCACUUUUUUCAAAGUGUUCUUCUGGGAAGGUACGCUUGUGUUAAAUUUCUUCAUAUUUCGAUAUACUGUCAUUUAACUGAUUAGUAGUAUUAUUUACUAACAAGUUGUGCUUGUGUUAAAUUUCAUCAUGUUUCGUUAUACUGUCAUUUAAACUGAUUAGUAGUUUUUACUAAAUUUAAGUUGCAAAAGAACCAAGUGAAUGAUGCAUUAUUACCUUUGAGUUUGCACAUCAGUCUUUUCUCUUGAUGCUUGAUUUUCAAUAAUAGCUGAGGAGGCAGUUAUCAGUUUAGUAUUGGCUUUCAAAGGAUUCAAAACUAUGGAGAUCAAAGGAUCCAAAACUAUGGAGAUGUUAUUUUUUGUCGUCAUCUUUCUGUUUCCUAUGUCCAGAAAUAUAUUUUUUGGGGUUGAUUUAUAGUACUAAUAUUUGGACGAGAAAUUUUUUAGGGCCGGAAGAUUAUAAAAAUUUGAGCUUUCUAAUUCCUUUACUGCUGGAAUUCAUAUAAGAUAUAACAGCUUGCUAAUCACAAAAUGGAUGAUUUUAUUCUAAUGCUUGCUUACAUGUUGUCUGAAGUAUCACCAUUAACUUUCUCUUUAGUGUUAUGAUUCAACAAUAUUUACAAAUUACUUUCUUUGAUUUAAAUCAAAUAUUGUUGCAGUAAAGAAGCCAAUCUAACGAAGGUUUUUUUUUUUUAAUUUUUUUAUGAAACUGCAAUAUAUGAUGGAGGUAGAGGAGAAGCAAUAUAUGUUGUAGUUACGCUUUUCUUAUUAUCUAAUUAGAUAAGGAUUUAAAAUUUCUCUUGAUGUCUACCAUGAAAUAGCUUAAGAUCCACUUUUGGUGGUAACUUUCCUCUUUCAGCAUCUUAACGUAGCAAUUAUUCCUCUUUUCUGUGUGUUGCUUAUUGGAAUGCAGUUUUAUCUAGACACAAUAAUUCAAAUUUUUUUACUUCCAUCUUGCACGACAAUACAUCAGGGGCGGAGCCAGGAUUUUCAGCAAGGGUGUUCAUAUUUUAGGACAGGGGAUGUGUGGGGGGAAAAAAAAAACAACACAUGAAAAACACAAUGCCUCUAAUGCAAAAAUAAAAAAAUUGUGCCACAGCUGGGAUUCGAACUCGCGUCCUGAGCAAGAGUUUGCACACCCUUAGCCGCUGGACUAUCCUUUGUUUCUAUAUCAAGGUUGUUCAUUACUAGUAUAUAUCCACAAAGUUCUAUAUUUAACAUAGGCAUCCGACAAUUUUUUCCGACGAAGGGUGUUCAUAUGAACACCCUUGAGUAGCUGUGGCUCCGCCACUGCAAUACAUUUGUGUGAUGUUUAGCUCUGUUGAUGGAGAGUCGGCAUUCAAAAUUUGUGCAGCGGAUAGUGUGUGAUUUAGCAUUUGCUACUAUCAAUAAUGGCACAAAAGAAUAAUAACAUAAGGAUGAAUACCAGUAUAGUUGCCGCCAAGAAAAUUGUUGAAGAAACCAUCCAAGUUGCAAUUCUCAUUUACUGAAUAAGAGAUCGAAAGCUAAGGAAAAGGAAGAGGAAAGACUGAAAUUGGUGCAGAAGUUACUUGGCUGCUGAAAUAAUAAAAUCAACAUCCGAGAUAGAGAUCUCAGCAUCUGAAGAAGCAGUUAAGCACCUCAAAAACAGAUUGACUUCACUGGGAAGAGAACUACAAUAUGCCAAAUUUAAGGUAACAAUAAUCCAUUAUAUUUCGAUCAUUUUUGCUUCAUCAAAAGCCUCAAGUGCUUACAGUGAAGUCUUUUGUAGUUGUCUGUUGGGGAUCUUUUUUUAAUGAAGAGACAAUUUUGUGAUACGAAUUGUGUAAAGUGCAUUACUUUUAAAAGGAACGUAUAAAAUGGAAGACUUUGAGCAGGAAUUUUGUAAAAUUGAAGACUUUUAGCAGAAAGUGUUUUGGUUCUAUAGAAUAAAAUCUUGUGGAGAAAUUUGGAGAGGAGAACAUUAAACUGGGAAAUUUGAAACUCUUUCAGUUAAAUUUUGUGUUGGAACCAUUUAGCCAUAGAUCUUUUGCUAAUGUCUUGCGCAUGUGUUGAUUUCUCUGGAGGUAUCCUAAUUCCUUCAGCUAUGCACAUUAAAACUGAAUUUGAAUUGUUGAUGCAGGCAUGAUGGAAUGCCAAAAUAGGUAGUCCUAAUUGUUUGUGUAGUCGUUGCAGCGUGUUUCUACUAUCCACAGGGAACAUCCUUUGCUGCAGAGGAGAAUGAAAGGAUAUUCUCAAGGAGAUAGAUAAUAAAAUGCCAAUCAUAAUCUUAUUUAUGCCUUUAGUACACUAAUGUGUGGUAUGAAAAUUGGACUAAAUUGGGAGCUUUAUAUCAUGUGGUUCCAUCUGAUUUCUAUAUCAAUGAGAAUCUGGUAGAUGUUGCAGAGUUAGUAGAAGAUGGAAAGUGGAAGGACCAGCUUUUACAGCAAUCCUUUCCAAAUGCUAUUGUGGAGCAUAUUAAGGAAGAUAUUCAUAUAGAACAGCUACAGGGUACAUGGGACAGACCAUGUUGGAUGCCAACUAGUACAGGAAAAUUUACAGUAAACAGUGCUUGGGACAUGAUAAGGCAUAGAGGGGAAGAACAUGAAGAAUAUAACUAUCUGUGGAGUAAAGGAGUUCCUUUUAAGAUAUCAUUUUUUAUAUGGAGGUUGUGGAAGCACAUAAUUCCUACUGAUGAUAACCUAAGAAGGAUAAGGAUCCCUAUUGUCUCUAGAUGUUAUUGUUGCGAAACACCUCAUGUAGAAACAAUGCAAGAUCUUUUCCUGAGUAGCAGUUUUGCAGAAGGAGUAUGGAAUGUUUUCAUGCAUGCAGCAGGCAUUCAGAAGAAUAUGAUUCACAUUCACCAAGUAUUCAGAUACUAGUGGAAGGCAGAUUGUGGGGAAAAAUUAAAGCCUAUUUACAAGCAGUGUCUGCUAUGAUUACAUGGGAACUAUGGAAGAGGAGAAAUAUCAUUAAGCAUGGAGGUAGGAUCAGCUUUAGAAGGGUGGUGCAUGAAGUGAAUUUGCAUUUAUUUUAUCUUACGAAGAUGAGAUAUCCAUGGUUAAGAAAUGUUCCUUUUUUAUGGCCAGAGCUAGUAGCAUUUUUAGAAAACUAUCAUCCCAGGAUUAUAACUAAGGUGGUGUAUUGGAAGUUACCUCUUAAUAGAUGGUUUAAGUGUAACACUGAUGGAGCAUCAAGAGGUAACCCUGGUGCUAGCUCCUAUGGAUUUUGUGUUAGAAACUGGCAAGGGGAUCUUAUUUAUGCUCAAAGUGGGCAAAUUGGAGAGACCACAAAUGUUGUUGCUGAAGCAAGAGCAAUGUUGGAGGGGAUGAAGUACUGCAUUGAUAAGAAUUUACAUCCGUUAAUUCUGGAGACUGAUUCUUUAUUGCUUAAAAAUGUUGUGGAAGGGGUGUGGGUGGCACCUUGGUGUAUUGUACCAUAUGUUGAAAGAAUAAGGAGAAUGAAGGAGCACUGGAAUGUGAAGAUUCAACAUGUGUACAGGGAAGACAACACCCUUGCAGAUUUUUUAACUAACAUUGCUUUUGAUUUUGCAGGUACCUUGAAGUUCUAUUCUUUUUCUGAAUUGCCUAGUGCAGGGAGGAAAAUUCUCAGCUUGGAUAAACAGCAAAUUCCUAACUUAAGGAUAAGGAAUGCAAUGACUUGAGGCAUCUAAGGAGUGCAGGACUAAUAUUGUAACUCAGGUAUUGACAUCUCGGCAAUGUGUGGUAUUAGCUGGGCUCAUUCUAUUGAAGAGAUAUCAAUAUCAGAGAAACAUUUAGAAUUGCACGUCCAUAAUGAGGGAUUGAUAAGUUGGCUAUCUAUGUACUCAUCAUUCUAAAGAGUCUAUACAGCUUCGAAAAGUGAGUUUUGUGAUAUUUAGUUCAUUUUGAAUCUGGAGGCAUACUCCUGAUGGUUUGUUAGCCAAGUCUCUGGUGAGAGCUUCGAGGGACAUAUAAUUGGCGUCAAGGAAAGAUUCAAAUGCUACUUACACAAAACAUACAAGACCAAGCUAUAUAGAGGAUUUAGAAGCCUGAUUAAUCAGUUAUUUUAGCUAGUGAACUCAGAUCGAUUAUAGGUAAAGCCAUUUACAACAAAUACUGAUAAUGAGAUUGGGGUUUGAAACUGAAAGUCAUGGUAAAGCGAUUCAAGAGUCACAUACAAAGAUUUCAAUUUUGUGGAAAGCAAUGGAGGAAGAAAGAUCUAUGGAACAAAGAGCAGCAAAGGAAAUACCUGAGCUAAGAAGCACUUGAGCUGAUAUCUGCUGGUCGGAGCUGCGAAACCGGUGUGGAUUGGAGUUCUUGAUCUGAGCUAACAUAGAAGCUCAUUUUUUGGGGGGUGUUGCUUUUUCUUGGGCUUUCUAGAUCUGUCCGUCCAGUUCCUUUAUUGUUUGCUUUUGUUAUGGAUAUUUGGCUAUUAUUAAUAAAAUAUAUCCACCCAUGUGGUGGUAGCUUAUUUUAAAAAAAAAAAAGUCCUAUGAUGAGCUAAGCUUGAUUAUUUCCUAAAUUCUGAAUAGAUGUAAUUUACUAUAGUUUUCUAAUUGUCUUCUCUAUUCCUCUUUUUGUACUUUUCAUCUGCAUGAGGUAAAUAUCUCUCGCUCCAUGUGUCAUAUUUCAGUGUUAUAUUUUCCUAUUAAUUUCAGGGCAUAUGAUCAUGUUGCGAUUA